CCUACGGGUGGCAGCAGGCGCGAAAACUUUACCAUGCGGGCAACCGUGAUAAGGAAACCCCGAGUGCCAGCACAGGCUGGCUGUCCACCAGUGUAAAUAACUGGUGAAGAAAGGGCCGGGCAAGACCGGUGCCAGCCGCCGCGGUAAUACCGGCGGCUCGAGUGGUGGCCGCUAUUACUGGGCUUAAAGGGUCCGUAGCUGGAUAUACAAGUCCCUUGAGAAAUCCGCCGGCUUAACCGGUGGGCGUUCAGGGGAAACUGUAUUUCUAGGGACCGGGAGAGGUGAGAGGUACUGCCGGGGUAGGAGUGAAAUCCUGUAAUCCCGGUGGGACCACCUAUGGCGAAGGCAUCUCACCAGAACGGGUCCGACAGUGAGGGACGAAAGCUGGGGGAGCAAACCGGAUUAGAUACCCUGGUAGUCC
rnacentral:rRNA from 1 species